rnacentral:rRNA from 1 species
ACGUCCUACGGGAGGGCAGCAGUGGGGAAUGAUUGCACAAUGGGGGAAACCCUGAUGCAGCCAUGCCGCGUGUGUGAAGAAGGCCUUCGGGUUGUAAAGCACUUUCAGUAGGGAGGAAGGUAGUGUAGUUAACACCUGCAUUAUUUGACGUUACCUACAGAAGAAGCACCGGCUAACUCCGUGCCAGCAGCCGCGGUAAUACGGAGGGUGCGAGCGUUAAUCGGAAUUACUGGGCGUAAAGCGCAUGCAGGCGGCCUGUUAAGUCAGAUGUGAAAGCCCGGGGCUUAACCUCGGAAUUGCAUUUGAAACUGGCAGGCUAGAGUCUUGUAGAGGGGGG